GACGUAUAGCUCAGCUGGUUAGAGCGCUCGCCUCACACGCGAGAGGUCAUGGGUUCGAGUCCCGUUAUGUCC
rnacentral:tRNA from 1 species